UCUACCUCAUCCGUGGAGCUCAAACUCAGCUUCAACGUGGGACCAGUGGCACCAGGAUGAGAGCUGUGCGGUUUGUAGAAAUAACACCAGCAGAAUGACACUGGCUGCCAUGUUGAGAAGAUUCUACGUGAGCAAAUACAGACGCAGAGACUAAUCAAGAAGCUUUUGAAAGAAUCCAGGAGGAGUGCACACAUUUUUCCAGGCUGCCAAAGAAGUCCUUGGCACAGAGUUCAAGGACCCAAGGGAGUCUGAGAGGAAGAGGAACAGGUUGAAAGGCAGAUUGAAAUAAGAUCACAAAGAGCCUUGAAUGCCUAGCUAAGCUGUUUGCAUAUGGAUCUGUAGUCAACAGGCGGCCAACACCAAUGCCUUAUCUAGACGUCAAACUGCUCCAGCCCUUGUCUCAUCUUCCAAGUGUGAUGCCAAAGGCCCUAGAGCCAGGAAUUGCCCUUUUAUAGUCCCCAUAGUCUACCUAGACUGUUACUAGAUGCAUGACACAUAUUCAAUUCAACACAGGAUUCCAAAGAACUGAGACUCAGAGCCACAUUGAUGAAUCUGGCUCCUUAAUUUUGGGAUAUAAGUAUAAAUUCUUCCUAAACUUGUUUUCAUGGGUUUUUUUUGUAUUUAAUGAACCAGAGAAGUUUUGUUAAAGAGGGGAAGAAUCCUAAGGCUGCUAAAUUUUUAUUACUUUAUUCCAAGUAAUACAAUUAAAAAUUAAAAUGGCCUUCUAUCAAUUGCCAUAAUCAUUUUAUAAUAGAAUGAGAAUUUUAGCAUCCUCCCCCUCCUAAAGGACAGGCAUACUCUCAGAAAGAAAAACCAUCUUUUCCAAGAAAAGAAAAUUGAUAAUCUAACACUGUCAUUUUAAAGGAUAUGCUUUUUUAAAUUUUCAA